GAAAGGGAUGUUAAUACCGCCAUACGUCCUACGGGAGAAAAGCAGGGAUUUUCGGACCUUGCGCUAAUAGAUGAGCCUAAGUCGGAUUAGCUAGUUGGUGGGGUAAAGGCCUACCAAGGCGACGAUCUGUAGCGGGUCUGAGAGGAUGAUCCGCCACACUGGGACUGAGACACGGCCCAGACUCCUACGGGAGGCAGCAGUGGGGAAUAUUGGACAAUGGGGGGAACCCUGAUCCAGCCAUGCCGCGUGUGUGAAGAAGGCCUUAUGGUUGUAAAGCACUUUAAGCGAGGAGGAGGCUACUUUAGUUAAUACCUAGAGAUAGUGACGUACUCGCAGAAUAAGCACCGCA
rnacentral:rRNA from 1 species